AGAACAGAUGUUGUAGGUUACCUGCAGAGAUUUGCAUCCACUUUUUUGUCAGCAUGUAUGUUGCCUGUAUAGAUGCACCUAUUUGGCACAGGUGCAUUUGAUCACCGCUGAGACCUCAGAGUUUUCAAUAUCACAAUAAAUGAUACCACCUAGUGGAAUUCAUUUUACUCUGUGCAGGUCAUUCAAUGUAUCAGCACUUACCCACAGGUUGGUUUGGAUGUGCACACAUUCUUCUGUAAACUAGACUUGCAUCAGAGUAGCAAACAAGGGGUGUAAGGCUCUUUAUUUACCUUUAUGUAUAAGGUAGAAAGUAAAAAUACUCCGGCACACACAGAAAUACACUGCAUAAUCACAUUUCAUGAGAAACAUGAAACGAUUUUUGAGUGUUUUCACUUUUCAACUUAGCAAAAGUUCAGCUCUAAUGUCUGAUGUUGUAUGAUUAGCUUGUCCUUUGAAUUGACAGACACAAUGUGAAAUCUAACAUUUUCAGUAAGUAGUAAAGACAAAAGGAGUGUAUAAAUAAAUAUAUAGAAUUUAUUGCAAUGUAAACCAUUAUCCAUUUUAGUUAGCAGAUAUGGAGGCAUCAUGACCUCAACCGAUCACUGAAAUAAAUUAACAUCUUGUUACAAAUAUCAAAGUGCCUUUCUUUCUCAGUCAUAUUCAAGACAAAUAUCUUGCACAGCGCAGUCGAUAACAGAAUAAAUAAGAACAGCGGUAUGGGGAAUAACCUAACGUAAUCACUAAAUGAAGCAGCAACAACAGUUAUGGCUAACUUUUUGCAAUUUACAAUCAUCUGUAACUAUCAACCCAGUCAAGAUGUAGAAGGGGGUGUGUUGCCUAAAAAGUUUGGGAACCAGUGCGUUAUCUGAUAUCAUUAGUCUUGACAAAAUCUAGUGUUGCAAGUUACCACAAUUAUAUAUUAAAGAACAUUGAAGCAUUUUAAACCUUGUGUAGUAUAACCUCAGUAAUAGAUAAAUUGUUGUUUUAAGUGUUGUUGUAUAGUUUAAGGUAAACUUACCUCGAGUGUAAGCUGGUAACAAUACGGCCACUGUUGUGGUUGGGCUUCGCCUCUUCCCCUUCCCUUAUGUUUUCUCAGUUUCCCCCUCCCUGCUGUUUUUUGACUGUCUGGUCUGUCUAGUCCUGUGUGUGUGUGUGUGUGUGUGUGUGUGUGUGUAGGCGUGUCUGGCCCUGGCUCAUUCCCACCUGCAGCACUCCGCACCUGUGGCUCAUCUACCAUCAACUCCUGCAGUUAAAUACUCCGGCUUACAUCCCACUCUUCGCCAGAUCGUCAGAGUGUACCUCUCCCGUGUGCGGAGUCGCUGCCUGACUGCCUACUGAGCCACCUGUCAGUUCGCUCACCGCCCGCCAGCCAGCCUGUCCGUCCUCACUACACUCCUGGACGCCCUUGUCGGAUUCCCCCCCCCCAAGACUGGAAUUAUUACCCACUCCCGGAAUCUCCGGUCUUCUCUGUGCGUCCCAAUAAACCUUGCCUGUGUUCACGCUAA